rnacentral:rRNA from 1 species
CCUACGGGUGGCAGCAGUGGGGAAUAUUGCGCAAUGGGCGAAAGCCUGACGCAGCGACGCCGCGUGAGGGAUGAAGGUCUUCUGAUCGUAAACCUCUGUCAGCAGGGAAGAACGGUCACUGUGCUAAUCAGCAGUGAAUUGACGGUACCUGCAAAGGAAGCACCGGCUAACUCCGUGCCAGCAGCCGCGGUAAUACGGAGGGUGCGAGCGUUAAUCGGAAUUACUGGGAGUAAGGCGCUCGUAGGCGGUAUGUCAAGUCAAGGGUGAAAUCCCCGCGCUCAACGUGGGAACUGCCUUUGAAACUGGCAAACUGGAGUGUGUGAGCGGAUAGUGGAAUUCCAGGUGUAGGAGUGAAAUCCGUAGAUAUCUGGAGGAACAUCAGUGGCGAAGGCGACUAUCUGGAACAUAACUGACGCUGAGGAGCGAAAGCGUGGGUAGCAAACAGGAUUAGAUACCCUUGUAGUC